rnacentral:misc_RNA from 1 species
CAGAGUUCUAAAAAGACUCCCAAACCAUUGUGAACAUACCCGUCAGCGUUGCUUCGGCGGGCGUCCCCUCCCUGGGGACGCUGCCCUCCGGGGUGCCCGCCGGUGCGUACCAAACUCUUUUGUAUUUUAGUGGCCUCUCUGAGAAAACAAGCAAAUAAGUUA